rnacentral:rRNA from 1 species
UACGUAGGGAGCAAGCGUUGUUCGGAUUUACUGGGCGUAAAGGGCGCGUAGGCGGCAUGACAAGUCACUUGUGAAAUCUCUGGGCUUAACCCAGAACGGCCAAGUGAUACUGUCGCGCUAGAGUGCGGAAGGGGCAAUCGGAAUUCUCGGUGUAGCGGUGAAAUGCGUAGAUAUCGAGAGGAACACCUGAGGUGAAGACGGGUUGCGGGGCCGACACUGACGCUGAGUGUGCGAAAGCAAGGGGAGCAAACAGG